rnacentral:rRNA from 1 species
UUAUUGGAGAGUUUGAUCCUGGCUCAGGACGAACGCUGGCGGCGUGCUUAACACAUGCAAGUCGAGCGGUGAACCGGAGCUUGCUCCGGGGAUCAGCGGCGAACGGGUGAGUAACACGUGGGCAACCUGCCCUCAGCUCUGGGAUAACUCCGGGAAACCGGGGCUAAUACCGGAUACGACUUCCUGCGGCAUCUCGGGAAGUGGAAAGUUUUUCGGCUGAGGAUGGGCCCGCGGCCUAUCAGCUUGUUGGUGGGGUAAUGGCCCACCAAGGCGACGACGGGUAGCCGGCCUGAGAGGGCGACCGGCCACACUGGGACUGAGACACGGCCCAGACUCCUACGGGAGGCAGCAGUGGGGAAUAUUGCGCAAUGGGCGAAAGCCUGACGCAGCGACGCCGCGUGAGG